UCAACCGCCUUACUAAAUUCAGCACCAUUCAUCCAUAUGAUAAAGGAAAUUUACCUCAACCUAAGGAGUAAGGUUGUUGGUUGCUGUGAUUUCCAUUUUUACGGUUUUUUAUCAUGAUGAAGACUUCAGUGUGCUUGUUAGUAUAGAGCACAUAAUAGAUCCUUAAGCCAAUGCUGACCUUUGUCAAUGAAGGAAGAGGGACA